GAGUUUGAUCAUGGCUCAGAUUGAACGCUGGCGGCAUGCCUUACACAUGCAAGUCGAGCGGCAGCGCGGGGGCAGCCCUGGCGGCGAGCGGCGAACGGGUGAGUAAUACAUCGGAACGUGUCCAGUAGUGGGGGAUAACCAGUCGAAAGAUUGGCUAAUACCGCAUACGAUCUACGGAUGAAAGCGGGGGACCGCAAGGCCUCGCGCUAUUGGAGCGGCCGAUGUCGGAUUAGCUUGUUGGCGGGGUAAAAGCCCACCAAGGCGACGAUCCGUAGCUGGUCUGAGAGGACGACCAGCCACACUGGAACUGAGACACGGUCCAGACUCCUACGGGAGGCAGCAGUGGGGAAUUUUGGACAAUGGGGGAAACCCUGAUCCAGCCAUGCCGCGUGAGUGAAGAAGGCC
rnacentral:rRNA from 1 species